CCUACGUGAGGCAGCAGUGGGGAAUAUUGCACAAUGGGGGAAACCCUGAUGCAGCGACGCCGCGUGCGUGAAGAAGGAAUUCGUUAUGUAAAGCUCUCUCAGCAGGGAAGAAAAUGACGGUACCUGAGUAAGAAGCCCCGGCUAACUACGUGCCAGCAGCCGCGGUAAUACGUAGGGGGCAAGCGUUAUCCGGAUUUACUGGGUGUAAAGGGAGCGUAGACGGCAGUGCAAGUCUGGAGUGAAAUGCGGGGGCUCAACCCCCGGACUGCUCUGGAAACUGUACGGCUGGAGUGCAGGAGAGGUAAGUGGAAUUCCUAGUGUAGCGGUGAAAUGCGUAGAUAUUAGGAGGAACACCAGUGGCGAAGGCGGCUUACUGGACUGUAACUGACGUUGAGGCUCGAAAGCGUGGGGAGCAAACAGGAUUAGAUACCCCUGUAGUC
rnacentral:rRNA from 1 species